GGUAAUGAGGCCGAUCGAUCGCCGGGCUCCAAGCAAUCCGCAGCCGUUCCUCGUCCUCGAUCGCGCCCGUCGCCGGAUCCCUCGGCACCUCGGCUCCCAACCCCGCUUCCGCCGCACGCACGCCAGAGCGAUCGGGUUCUUCUUCCCCCAAGAAUAAUCCUGAUCAUGGGCUGUCGCUCCUUUGGUGUUGAAGUUCUGUCAGCUUGUGUAGAUCUGGUUUGAGAAUGUGAAAUCGAUUUCAGAGAUGCGGGGUACUUCAGUUUCAGCUUCAGCCAAGUUAAACUAGUCAGUUCUGAUGGGG